CACAAGUUAGCUCAGAGGGUAGAGCAACGGACUUGGAUCCGUCUGUCGAGGGUUCGACUCCCUCACUUGUUC
rnacentral:tRNA from 1 species